CCUACGUGGGGCAGCAGUGAGGAAUAUUGCACCAUGGGCGAAACCCUGAUGCAGCGACGCCGCGUGAGUGAAGAAUUACUUCUUUAUUUAAAGCUCUUUCUGCAUGGAAGUAACAUACUGUACCUGAGUAAUAAGCCCCGUCUAACUACGUUCCAGCAGCCGCGGUAAUACGUAGGGGGCAAGCGUUAUCCGGAUUUACUGGGUGUAAAGGGAGCGUAGACGGCUAAGAAAGUCUGAAGUGAAAGCCCGCGGCUUAACCGCGGAACUGCUUUGGAAACUUUUAUGCUGGAGUAAAGGAGAGGUAAGCGGAAUUCGUAGUGUAGCGGUGAAAUGCGUAGAUAUUAGGAGGAACACCAGUGGCGAAGGCGGCUUACUGGACGGUAACUGACGUUGAGGCUCGAAAGCGUGGGGAGAAAACAGGAUUAGAUACCCCUGUAGUC
rnacentral:rRNA from 1 species